GACGAACGCUGGCGGCGUGCUUAACACAUGCAAGUCGAACGGAAAGGCCCUGCUUGCAGGGUGCUCGCGAGGCGAACGGGUGAGUAACACGUGGGUGAUCUGCCCUUCACUUCGGGAUAAAACGGGGAAACUGGGUCUAAUCUCGGCGGGGAGCCAUUUUUCGUGAGGUGGUUGGUAAGUUUUUUCGGUGUAGGCUGAGCUCGCGGCCUAUCAGCUUGUUGGAGGGGUAAUGGCCUACCAAGGCGGCUACGGGGAGCCGGCCUGAGAGGGUGGACGGCCACAUUGGGACUGAGACACGGCCCAGACGCCUACUGGAGGCAGCAGUGGGGAAUAUUGCUCAAUGGGAGCAAGCCUGAUGCAGCGACGCCGCGUGGGGGAUGACGGCCUUCGGGUUGUAAACUCCUUUCGCUAGGGACGAAGCUUUUUGUGACGGUACCUAGAUAAGAAGCACCGGCUAACUACGUG
rnacentral:rRNA from 1 species